GACGAACGCUGGCGGCGUGCUUAACACAUGCAAGUCGAACGGAAAGGCCCUGCUUUUGUGGGGUGCUCGAGUGGCGAACGGGUGAGUAACACGUGAGUAACCUGCCCUUGACUUUGAGAUAACUUCAGGAAACUGGGGCUAAUACCGGAUAGGAGCUCCUGCUGCAUGGUGGGGGUUGGAAAGUUUCGGCGGUUGGGGAUGGACUCGCGGCUUAUCAGCUUGUUGGUGGGGUAGUGGCUUACCAAGGCUUUGACGGGUAGCCGGCCUGAGAGGGUGACCGGCCACAUUGGGACUGAGAUACGGCCCAGACUCCUACGGGAGGCAGCAGUGGGGAAUAUUGCACAAUGGGCGGAAGCCUGAUGCAGCAACGCCGCGUGCGGGAUGACGGCCUUCGGGUUGUAAACCGCUUUCGCCUGUGACGAAGCGUGAGUGACGGUAAUGGGUAAAGAAGCACCGGCUAACUACGCG
rnacentral:rRNA from 1 species